rnacentral:rRNA from 1 species
GUCUUUUUGUAUUAAAUUUAAAGUCUGGCCUGCCCACUGAAAAUUUUUAAAUGGCCGCGAUAUUUUGAUCGUGCUAAGGUAGCAUAAUCAUUAGUUUUUUAAUUGAAAGCUAGAAUGAAGGGUUGGAUGAAAAAAAUUCUGUCUUAAUUAAAAUUUCAUAGAAUUUUAUUUUUAAGUUAAAAAGCUUAAAUAAUAUUAAAAGACGAGAAGACCCUAUAGAGUUUAAUAAUUAUUUUAAUUUUUUAUUUUUUGAAUUAAAUUUAAUUAUAAAAUAAUUAUUUAAUUGGGGUGAUUAAAAAAUUUAAGAAACUUUUUUUAUAUUUUAAUAUAAUUAUAUAGAUAAUUGAUCCAAUUAUUUUGAUUAAAAGAUAAAAUUACCUUAGGGAUAACAGCGUAAUUUUAUUGGAAAGUUCAAAUUGAUAAUAAAGGUUGCGACCUCGAUGUUGGAUUAAAAUUUAUAUUUGGUGGAGAAGCUAAAUAAUUAAGUCUGUUCGACUUUUAAAAUUUUACA